rnacentral:rRNA from 1 species
UACGUAGGGAGCAAGCGUUAAUCGGAAUUACUGGGCGUAAAGCGUGCGCAGGCGGCUUUGCAAGACAGAUGUGAAAUCCCCGGGCUUAACCUGGGAACUGCAUUUGUGACUGCAUGGCUGGAGUGCGGCAGAGGGGGAUGGAAUUCCGCGUGUAGCAGUGAAAUGCGUAGAUAUGCGGAGGAACACCGAUGGCGAAGGCAGUCCCCUGGGCCUGCACUGACGCUCAUACACGAAAGCGUGGGGAGCAAACAGG